rnacentral:rRNA from 1 species
AGUCGAGCGGAUGAAGGGAGCUUGCUCCUGGAUUCAGCGGCGGACGGGUGAGUAAUGCCUAGGAAUCUGCCUGGUAGUGGGGGAUAACGUCCGGAAACGGGCGCUAAUACCGCAUACGUCCUGAGGGAGAAAGUGGGGGAUCUUCGGACCUCACGCUAUCAGAUGAGCCUAGGUCGGAUUAGCUAGUUGGUGGGGUAAAGGCCUACCAAGGCGACGAUCCGUAACUGGUCUGAGAGGAUGAUCAGUCACACUGGAACUGAGACACGGUCCAGACUCCUACGGGAGGCAGCAGUGGGGAAUAUUGGACAAUGGGCGAAAGCCUGAUCCAGCCAUGCCGCGUGUGUGAAGAAGGUCUUCGGAUUGUAAAGCACUUUAAGUUGGGAGGAAGGGCAGUAAGUUAAUACCUUGCUGUUUUGACGUUACCAACAGAAUAAGCACCGGCUAACUUCGUGCCAGCAGCCGCGGUAAUACGAAGGGUGCAAGCGUUAAUCGGAAUUACUGGGCGUAAAGCGCGCGUAGGUGGUUCAGCAAGUUGGAUGUGAAAUCCCCGGGCUCAACCUGGGAACUGCAUCCAAAACUACUGAGCUAGAGUACGGUAGAGGGUGGUGGAAUUUCCUGUGUAGCGGUGAAAUGCGUAGAUAUAGGAAGGAACACCAGUGGCGAAGGCGACCACCUGGACUGAUACUGACACUGAGGUGCGAAAGCGUGGGGAGCAAACAGGAUUAGAUACCCUGGUAGUCCACGCCGUAAACGAUGUCGACUAGCCGUUGGGAUCCUUGAGAUCUUAGUGGCGCAGCUAACGCGAUAAGUCGACCGCCUGGGGAGUACGGCCGCAAGGUUAAAACUCAAAUGAAUUGACGGGGGCCCGCACAAGCGGUGGAGCAUGUGGUUUA